rnacentral:rRNA from 1 species
AACGCGAAGAACCUUACCUAAGCUUGACAUCCUUUUGACCUCUCCCUAAUCGGAGAUUUCCCUUCGGGGACAAAAGUGACAGGUGGUGCAUGGUUGUCGUCAGCUCGUGUCGUGAGAUGUUGGGUUAAGUCCCGCAACGAGCGCAACCCUUGUCUUUAGUUGCCAUCAUUAAGUUGGGCACUCUAGAGAGACUGCCGAGGAUAACUCGGAGGAAGGUGGGGAUGACGUCAAAUCAUCAUGCCCCUUAUGCUUAGGGCUACACACGUGCUACAAUGGGUGGUACAGAGGGCAGCCAAGCCGUGAGGUGGAGCAAAUCCCUUAAAGCCAUUCUCAGUUCGGAUUGUAGGCUGAAACUCGCCUACAUGAAGCUGGAGUUACUAGUAAUCGCAGAUCAGAAUGCUGCGGUGAAUGCGUUCCCGGGUCUUGUACACACCG